GACGAACGCUGGCGGCAUGCUUAACACAUGCAAGUCGUACGGUAAGGCCCUUUCGGCGUUACACGACUGACGAACAGGUGAGUAACACUGGGGUAACCGUCCCACAACUGUCUGAUAACGCUAGGAAACUGGUGCUAAUACUGACUAUGUGCUCCUGCUGCAUGGUUGGGGUUUGAAAGCUCCGGCGGUUGUGGAUGGACUCGAGGCAGGCCUGCGUGUCGUUAGGUUAGUGGUGAGGUAACGGCGCAACAAGUCGCCGGUGGGUAGGGGUACUGAGAGGUUGAGCCCCCACGCUGGUACUGAGACACUGACCAGACUCCUACGGGAGGCAGCAGUGAGGAAUAUUGGGCAAUGGGCGAGAGCCUGAACCAGCCAAGUCGCGUGAAGGAUGACUGUCUUAUGGAGUGUAAACUUCUUUUGUAGGGGAAUAAAGAGGGGCACGUGUGCCCCAGUGAAUGUACCCGACGAAUAAGCAUCGGCUAACUCCGUG
rnacentral:rRNA from 1 species